rnacentral:rRNA from 1 species
AUUGAACGCUGGCGGAAUGCUUUACACAUGCAAGUCGAGCGGCAGCACGGGGGCAACCCUGGUGGCGAGCGGCGAACGGGUGAGUAAUACAUCGGAACAUGCCCAGUCGUGGGGGAUAACACUUCGAAAGAAGUGCUAAUACCGCAUACGUCCUGAGGGAGAAAGCGGGGGAUCGCAAGACCUCGCGCGAUUGGAGUGGCCGAUGUCAGAUUAGCUAGUUGGUGGGGUAAAGGCCUACCAAGGCAACGAUCUGUAGCUGGUCUGAGAGGAUGAUCAGCCACACUGGGGCUGAGACACGGCCCAGACUCCUACGGGAGGCAGCAGUGGGGAAUUUUGGACAAUGGGGGCAACCCUGAUCCAGCCAUUCCGCGUGAGUGAAGAAGGCCUUCGGGUUGUAAAGCUCUUUCGGCAGGAACGAAACGGCGAGCUCUAACAUAGCUUGCUAAUGACGGUACCUGAAGAAGAAGCACCGGCUAACUACGUG